rnacentral:rRNA from 2 species
GUUUAAKUAGAAGCAACGCGAAGAACCUUACCAGGUCUUGACAUCCUCUGACAACCCUAGAGAUAGGGCUUUCCCUUCGGGGACAGAGUGACAGGUGGUGCAUGGUUGUCGUCAGCUCGUGUCGUGAGAUGUUGGGUUAAGUCCCGCAACGAGCGCAACCCUUGAUCUUAGUUGCCAGCAUUYAGUUGGGCACUCUAAGGUGACUGCCGGUGACAAACCGGAGGAAGGUGGGGAUGACGUCAAAUCAUCAUGCCCCUUAUGACCUGGGCUACACACGUGCUACAAUGGACAGAACAAAGGGCUGCGAGACCGCAAGGUUUAGCCAAUCCCACAAAUCUGUUCUCAGUUCGGAUCGCAGUCUGCAACUCGACUGCGUGAAGCUGGAAUCGCUAGUAAUCGCGGAUCAGCAUGCCGCGGUGAAUACGUUCCCGGGCCUUGUACACACCGCCCGUCACACCACGAGAGUUUGCAACACCCGAAGUCGGUGAGGUAACCUUUAUGGAGCCAGCCGCC